rnacentral:rRNA from 1 species
AGAGUUUGAUCCUGGCUCAGGACGAACGCUGGCGGCGUGCCUAAUACAUGCAAGUAGAACGCUGAAGAGAGGAGCUUGCUCUUCUUGGAUGAGUUGCGAACGGGUGAGUAACGCGUAGGUAACCUGCCUUGUAGCGGGGGAUAACUAUUGGAAACGAUAGCUAAUACCGCAUAACAAUGGAUGACACAUGUCAUUUAUUUGAAAGGGGCAAUUGUUCCACUACAAGAUGGACCUGCGUUGUAUUAGCUAGUAGGUGAGGUAAUGGCUCACCUAGGCGACGAUACAUAGCCGACCUGAGAGGGUGAUCGGCCACACUGGGACUGAGACACGGCCCAGACUCCUACGGGAGGCAGCAGUAGGGAAUCUUCGGCAAUGGGGGCAACCCUGACCGAGCAACGCCGCGUGAGUGAAGAAGGUUUUCGGAUCGUAAAGCUCUGUUGUAAGUCAAGAACGGGUGUGAGAGUGGAAAGUUCACACUGUGACGGUAGCUUACCAGAAAGGGACGGCUAACUACGUGCCAGCAGCCGCGGUAAUACGUAGGUCCCGAGCGUUGUCCGGAUUUAUUGGGCGUAAAGCGAGCGCAGGCGGUUUGAUAAGUCUGAAGUUAAAGGCUGUGGCUCAACCAUAGUUCGCUUUGGAAACUGUCAAACUUGAGUGCAGAAGGGGAGAGUGGAAUUCCAUGUGUAGCGGUGAAAUGCGUAGAUAUAUGGAGGAACACCGGUGGCGAAAGCGGCUCUCUGGUCUGUAACUGACGCUGAGGCUCGAAAGCGUGGGGAGCGAACAGGAUUAGAUACCCUGGUAGUCCACGCCGUAAACGAUGAGUGCUAGGUGUUGGAUCCUUUCCGGGAUUCAGUGCCGCAGCUAACGCAUUAAGCACUCCGCCUGGGGAGUACGACCGCAAGGUUGAAACUCAAAGGAAUUGACGGGGGCCCGCACAAGCGGUGGAGCAUGUGGUUUAAUUCGAAGCAACGCGAAGAACCUUACCAGGUCUUGACAUCCCGAUGCUAUUUCUAGAGAUAGAAAGUUACUUCGGUACAUCGGUGACAGGUGGUGCAUGGUUGUCGUCAGCUCGUGUCGUGAGAUGUUGGGUUAAGUCCCGCAACGAGCGCAACCCCUAUUGUUAGUUGCCAUCAUUCAGUUGGGCACUCUAGCGAGACUGCCGGUAAUAAACCGGAGGAAGGUGGGGAUGACGUCAAAUCAUCAUGCCCCUUAUGACCUGGGCUACACACGCGCUACAAUGGUUGGUACAACGAGUUGCGAGUCGGUGACGGCGAGCUAAUCUCUUAAAGCCAAUCUCAGUUCGGAUUGUAGGCUGCAACUCGCCUACAUGAAGUCGGAAUCGCUAGUAAUCGCGGAUCAGCACGCCGCGGUGAAUACGUUCCCGGGCCUUGUACACACCGCCCGUCACACCACGAGAGUUUGUAACACCCGAAGUCGGUGAGGUAACCUUUUGGAGCCAGCCGCCUAAGGUGGGACAGAUGAUUGGGGUGAAGUCGUAACAAGGUA